rnacentral:rRNA from 1 species
UGAGUACGAGCUGCUACGGCAGCGAAGUGGGUGAUGUCAUGCUUCCAAGAAAAGCCCUAUACCCGUUAAGGCAUGAUGGCCUGUACCCGAAACCGACACAGGUGGGGUGGUAGAGAAUACCGAGGGGCGCGAGGUAACUCUCUCUAAGGAACUCGGCAAAAUGGCCCCGUAACUUCGGGAGAAGGGGUGCCACCGCAGGGUGGUCGCAGUGAAGAGGCCCAGGCGACUGUUUACCAAAAACACAGGUCUCCGCUAAGUCGCAAGACGAUGUAUGGGGGCUGACGCCUGCCCAGUGCCGGAAGGUUAAGGAAGCUGGUCAGCGUAAGCGGAGCUAGCGACUGAAGCCCCGGUGAACGGCGGCCGUAACUAUAACGGUCCUAAGGUAGCGAAAUUCCUUGUCGGGUAAGUUCCGACCCGCACGAAAGGCGUAACGAUCUGGGCACUGUCUCGGAGAGAGGCUCGGCGAAAUAGAAUUGUCUGUGAAGAUGCGGACUACGUGCACCCGGACAGAAAGACCCUAUGAAGCUUUACUGUAGCUUGGUAUUGUGCUCGGGCUCGGAAUGCGCAGGAUAGGUGGUAGGCUAUGAACCAUUGCUUGUGGGUGAUGGUGAGCCACUGGUGAGAUACCACUCUUUCCGAGCUAGAGUUCUAACAGCCACCCGUUAUCCGGGGGCUGGACAGUAUCAGGUGGGCAGUUUGACUGGGGCGGUCGCCUCCUAAAAGGUAACGGAGGCGCGCAAAGGUUUGCUCAGGCUGGUUGGAAAUCAGCCGACGAGUGUAAAAGCAGAAGCAAGCUUGACUGUGAGACCUACAAGUCGAACAGGGAGGAAACUCGGCUUUAGUGAUCCGACGGUUCUGCGUGGAAGGGCCGUCGCUCAACGGAUAAAAGUUACUCUAGGAUAACAGGCUGAUCUCCCCCAAGAGUUCACAUCGACGGGGAGGUUUGGCACCUCGAUGUCGGCUCAUCGCAACCUGGGGCUGAAGUCGGUCCCAAGGGUUGGGCUGUUCGCCCAUUAAAGCGGUACGCGAGCUGGGUUCAGAACGUCGUGAGACAGUUCGGUCCAUAUCCGGUGCAUGCGCAGGAAUAUUGAGAGGAUUUCUCCCUAGUACGAGAGGACCGGGAGGAACGCACCUCUGGUGUACCAGUUAUCGUGCCAACGGUAAACGCUGGGUAGCCAUGUGCGGAGAGGAUAACCGCUGAAAGCAUCUAAGUGGGAAGCCCACCUCAAGAUGAGUAUUCCCAUGGGGUAACCCAGUAAGGUCACGGGAAGAACACCCGUUGAUAGGCUCUACGUGGAAGCGCAGUAAUGUGUGAAGCGGAGGAGUACUAAUAGACCGAGGGCUUGAUAC